rnacentral:rRNA from 1 species
GAUGAACGCUGACAGAAUGCUUAACACAUGCAAGUCUACCAAGAAUCACUUCGGUGAGGAAUGGUGGCGGACGGGUGAGUAACGCGUAAAUAAUCUGCCCUUUAGACUGGGAUAUCCUUUGGAAACGAAGGUUAAUACCGGAUAUUAUGAGAUGGACGCAUGUUCAACUUAUGAAAGCUAAAUGCACUAGAGGAGGAGUUUGCGUCCCAUUAGCUAGUUGGAGAGGUAAAGGCUCACCAAGGCCACGAUGGGUAGCCGGCCUGAGAGGGCGAACAGCCACAAGGGAACUGAGAUACGAUCCUAUCUCCUACGGGCUGCAGCAGUGGGUAAUAUUCGACAAUGAACCAAAAGUCUGAUCCAGCAAUUCUGUGUGCACGAUGAACGUCUUCGGAUUGUAAAGUGCUUUCAGUAGGGAAGAAAAAAAUUGCGGUACCUACAGAAGAAGCGACGGCUAAAUAUGUGCCAGCAGCCGCCGUAAAAC